rnacentral:rRNA from 1 species
UGCGUAGGCGGUUUCGUGUGUCGGAUGUGAAAUCUGGAAGCUCAACUUCCAAACUGCAUCCGAAACUACGAGACUGGAGUACGGGAGAGGAAAGCGGAAUUCUCGGUGUAGCGGUGAAAUGCGUAGAUAUCGAGAGGAACACCGGUGGCGAAGGCGGCUUUCUGGACCGAUACUGACGCUGAGGCACGAAGGCCGGGGAGCAAACA